GGAAAUACUUGUCAUCAAAAAAAAUGGAUAAAAUGACAUCUAGACAUAUUUUAGUUUUAGAUACAUCUCUUUUUAUCCAUUUUGAUGACAAGUAUUUUCGGACGGAGGGAGUAGAAA
rnacentral:pre_miRNA from 1 species